rnacentral:rRNA from 1 species
UACGGGGGGAGCAAGCGUUGUUCGGAUUUACUGGGCGUAAAGGGCGCGUAGGCGGCCACCGCAAGUCGACUGUGAAAUCUCCGGGCUUAACCCGGAAAGGUCAGCCGAUACUGCGGGGCUAGAGUACAGAAGGGGCAACUGGAAUUCUCGGUGUAGCGGUGAAAUGCGUAGAUAUCGAGAGGAACGCCUGCGGCGAAGGCGGGUUGCUGGGCUGACACUGACGCUGAGGCGCGAAAGCCAGGGGAGCGAACGGG